GCGGGCGUGGCGGAAUUGGCAGACGCGCGGGAUUUAGGUUCCCGUGGCCGGAAGGCCGUGCAGGUUCGAUCCCUGUCGCCCGCA
rfam:Leptolyngbya valderiana BDT 20041 contig00003, whole genome shotgun sequence.